rnacentral:rRNA from 1 species
GUGCUUAACACAUGCAAGUCGAACGAUGAACCAGGAGCUUGCUCUUGGGAAUUAGUGGCGAACGGGUGAGUAACACGUGAGUAACCUGCCCUUGACUCUGGGAUAACCUCCGGAAACGGAAGCUAAUACCGGAUACGACGUACGGAGGCAUCUCCUGUACGUGGAAAGAACUUCGGUCAAGGAUGGACUCGCGGCCUAUCAGGUAGUUGGUGAGGUAACGGCUCACCAAGCCUACGACGGGUAGCCGGCCUGAGAGGGUGACCGGCCACACUGGGACUGAGACACGGCCCAGACUCCUACGGGAGGCAGCAGUGGGGAAUAUUGCACAAUGGGCGCAAGCCUGAUGCAGCAACGCCGCGUGAGGGAUGACGGCCUUCGGGUUGUAAACCUCUUUUAGUAGGGAAGAAGCGAAAGUGACGGUACCUGCAGAAAAAGCACCGGCUAACUACGUGCCAGCAGCCGCGGUAAUACGUAGGGUGCGAGCGUUGUCCGGAAUUAUUGGGCGUAAAGAGCUCGUAGGCGGUCUGUCGCGUCUGCUGUGAAAACCCGAGGCUCAACCUCGGGCCUGCAGUGGGUACGGGCAGACUAGAGUGCGGUAGGGGAGAAUGGAAUUCCUGGUGUAGCGGUGGAAUGCGCAGAUAUCAGGAGGAACACCGAUGGCGAAGGCAGUUCUCUGGGCCGUAACUGACGCUGAGGAGCGAAAGCGUGGGGAGCGAACAGGAUUAGAUACCCUGGUAGUCCACGCCGUAAACGUUGGGCGCUAGAUGUGGGGACCAUUCCACGGGUUCCGUGUCGCAGCUAACGCAUUAAGCGCCCCGCCUGGGGAGUACGGCCGCAAGGCUAAAACUCAAAGAAAUUGACGGGGGCCCGCACAAGC